rnacentral:tRNA from 1 species
GGUUAUAGCUCAGUGGCAGAGCACUUGCCUAGCAUGUAUGAGGCACUGGGUUCAAUCCUCAGCACCA